ACAAGGAACUAACUAUUUAUAGUAUAUUUAUACUAAAUAUAGCUUUACGCAUGUCGUCCUGAGACGUCACCGUAAAUUGUGUGGGAUGUGUUUAUGCUUAGCAUGAAUAUGUUAAAAAAGCAUAGCAAAUAAUACUCUUAAUUCGUUCGGUGUGUGUAUUUCAAAGAGAAUUUGAAAUGUCAAGAUUCUAGAGGCUUUUAUCUAUUUUAAUUUAAACUGUGACUAUAUAUUGCUAGUAAAUAAUUUCAUACGUGAACUCAUUAACAUUUACUUGAAAAUUAUGUCCAAAACAUCCAAAGAAAAAUUCAAAAACUCAUCCGAAGCAUGAAAAAUCAAUAAUCGCAAUUUUCAUUCUUCACUGUUUUCAUUUCUUCGGCUGGAAGCGUAGGAAAACGAAAUGUGUAUGGAUAGUAUAUACUAAAGUAUGUUUUAAUUUUUGAAGCGACAACGACUUACAACAUCAAAAAUGCAACUAACAAAUAAUGGACAAUCAGACCUGGUCGCGAAGGACAUGUCGUCACAGGUGAUAGGCUUUAAAUAUGUCGUAUGGCUAACAUAUAACAAAAUAAUAUUGCCGUUUGAGAGUAAAUGGCCCUGGACGCUACACUUAGGGGGAACCGUUUUGUCUGUGGUAUACUGUUUGGUUUUGUAUAGUCAUGCUUCCUUAAUAAUGCCUCAAAUGCUAAUGCUAGUGGUUUUCAUUUUUGAAAUGGCGACCACGUUAACAACUCCUACGAAGGAUCGUAUUUUCUAUGGAGUUAACGUCAUCACAUUUUGUGCGAAGUUAAUUUUUCUAGUAGUCUGUUUUGUUGUGCAUGUAAUAUCGGGUGCAACUACCAGUAACAUUAUUUUCUAUGUAUCAAUGUUUCUCCUAGAAUUAUUUACGGGGUCAUUGUAUUUGAAAUUUUUGUAUCCCGGUGAAUAUGCAUGCAGAAACGGAAGUUUAAAAAAUAAAAUUCAUCGCCCUAAUUCAAUUGUUUUUGGGCACACAAAACAAAACGUCAUAAGUGCAAACAGUGCUACAUCGUCAUUUACAUCGGUCAAAUCAUUAUCAGCUGACAUGUGAAUGCACAAAGUCAAUAAUUUAAACUAGAAAAGCGGAUUUUUUUUUCUAUUGCAAAGACAAGGUGCGGUCAAAAAAACGCCACCAAUAUUUUGAACUAUUGUGUACCGCGCGCCGCCUGUUAGUGAUAGAUCGGACUUACAAAUGUUGCAAAUGUUUCGAAUUAGCAAAAGCAGCCAAAGACAAAGGAUCCAUAGCCUUUGUCUGACAAAAUAGAACCAAUAGAACCGAACAAAGUAAAGUUAUGACAUUCGAUUUAUUCUGAAAUUCAUGUUUCGGUUAACAAUUUUUUUUUUGAGUUGGUCUGGAACUGAUCAACAGUUUUUACAAAUAAUUUCCUUACGCGUGGUACAUUUACCGCAGACAACUUUUGAGCAGUUGGCACAUGCCAUUCCGAGACUUUUAUUCCGGCAUUUUGGUGUCUGAUAAAUUGGACGGCAACCGCUGGCUGUCGUGAUUUUCUUAUUGGAUCGUCAGCUAACGACAACAGAUAGUCAAGUCGAGAAAUCGUCUUUCCCGUUACUUCGCGAUACAAUAUUCAGGCGUUGAUUGCAGCGAGAUCCAAUACGUUGUAGAAUACGUGUACUGGCCAUCGUCGAGAAGCGGCUUUUACUGAAUGUGCCUUGGCCAUACCGUCUGCAAUAUCUACCCCAUACUUUGUGUUGUUGUAGAAAUGGAUCGUAUCCGGUUUUUUGUUAGUCGUGUCAUCAACUGUCACCGAAUCGUGGAACGUACUUAAAAUACCAACUGACUUACUCUUCUUACUUUGGUACACUGUAAGAGUUUCUUUUUGAGGUCCAGUAAAAACAACCGUUUCAUGCAACGACAACCCAGCGUUUUUCUUUCGUGCAGUCGGCGGCAACCAUCGUCGAUUUUUAUUCACGGUUCCAACAACAGAAAUCCGUUUCUGCUUCAACACUUUCGCAUUGCUCGUUCCAGUGAAAAAAUUGUCCAUUGUCGCACAGUAUCCAUUGCCAAAAAAUGGUUCCAUGAGACGAAGUACAAUUUUAUCGGCAGCACUCCCCUCAUAUAUACUAGGUUCAUCAUUUCCAAUGAAUGGAAAACCAUUCAAUAUGAAUUUCGAUCGCAAAUCAACAGCGAGGUAGAACAUAAUCCCGAAUUUAUCCGGUUUUUUUGGUAAAAAUUGUGUGAACGGGCAUCGAGUCUUCGAUGGAAACAGUUGCUCGUCGAUCGUAAUAUGCUCACUCGGUGCGUAGCAUGAGCGACAGUUAUGAAUAAACUUGUCCCAAAUGUGUCUGGCCAUAGCAAACUUAUCGCUCGAAAGUCGUUCAGCACGCGUUUCCUUUUUAUCGAACCGAAGGUAACGCAUGAUUGCCUUGAAACGAUCUCGAGACAUUGUGCCGCGAAUAAUGUCUGGACCGUAUUUGGAUGAAAAAAUGUUUGUUACAGACAUGUUCUUUAGUCCCAUCGCUCCUCGUGCAUACAAUACUGAAAUGAAUGCCUUUAGCUCAUCCAUUGACAGUGUCCAAUCAUUGAUUUCCGUACAUCGACGUGCUUCCACUUCCGUACACUCACGUAUGUACUCGAGGAGUUCUUCGUCGAUCAUUGAUGUAAAUGCCGUGAGUAUGCUGGUAUUUUGGCAAAUGGUGUGGGACCAGGUAUGACUUUGAGUAUAUGCUGUGCUGACGCCCUUCCUACCCGUUUUUGACUAGCUGGGUCAGCCAAACCCGUUUUCAACCAAACUGUUCCAUCGGCAGCUGUCUCUUUACCAUCAUCCUCAUCAAUGUCAUCGUCACUCUCACUCUGUACCUCGUCCUCACUUUCUGUUCCAGGAUCUUCUCCAUUGUCUGUAAGUGAUGAAUGAUGUUUGUAAACAUAGAAAAUAAACAGCAACUCUUACAAGUAACACCUUCGCUCUCGACUUCUUCAUUUGAACCUUUGUCUGUGUCUGAUUCGUCACCCGAUUCACCAGACAGUUCGGGAUCAAUAUUCACCAACUCUGCCAAUUUUACAGAUAUUUGUUUCGAUUUAGAUCGCGUAUUAUACAUUUUGGUCAGAAAAUUAGUAGAAUGAAAUGCGGAACGUAAAAAUUAAAUAAACUGACAUCACAGAUUGAAAAUCCAUGGCUUGCUAUAUGAAUCUGUAAGUAAAAACUACGAAAUAAAUGUGUGGCCAAUUUUACCACAUGUCGCCUCUCUUACUUUUGAAUGUAUUUACUUCUUAAGUAAUGCACGGUUACUAUUAAAAGUUAGUAUUUUAUAAACAGAAACACUAGACAAAUAAUGUAGUGAAGACAUAAAAUGGAAAGAUUCAUUUCGUAAGAAAAAAUCCAAAUUGAUUCAUGAAAAAGUUCAUUUUGACUUCACUUGCCUUGCUAGUGUUAAAGAUUGAGAAACUGCAAUGGAUAAAAUGUUUAAAAUAAAAAAAACUCUUCUUCAAGCAACACUUGUUGGAAAUUUGUAAUCCUACGCGAUUUUGAGUCACAAAAAGGAAAAAAUAAUCGACGUCGUUCUGGUUUCCAAUGGACUCGUACAACCAUCAUCUGGUGACCUUUUCGUUCGGCCGAAUGGUAUGUCAAUGCGACCAAAUGGACUUGUUUUUCAAGAAAUCGUUGGAAACUUUCGCGGUGAUAACGUGACCAUCUACAAACUACCGAAAGGAUUAGAUCUAAAAAAAACAUAAACUCACUUUGCUGUGGGACCAUAGUGAUCUUCAUUCGGUGCAGACGGUCGAUCCAAUCACACUUUCGGCUAGGGAAAGGAAACCGGAAGGCUUUUGGCAAUACUCGUAAUUUAGGCCCUCAGCAUGAAAAGUUGUGUACGCAUCUGUUGUGGACGGUUUAUC